GACGAACGCUGGCGGCGUGCCUAAUACAUGCAAGUAGGACGCAGUUGCGAACGGGUGAGUAACGCGUAGGUAACUGCCUAUUAGAGGGGGAUAACUAUUGGAAACGAUAGCUAAUACCGCAUACUAGUAGAUGGACCUGCGUUGUAUUAGCUAGUAGGUAGGGUAAUGGCCUACCUAGGCAACGCUACAUAGCCGACCUGGGAAGGUGAUCGGCCACAAUGGGACUGGGACACGGGCCAGACUCCUACGGGAGGCAGCAGUAGGGAAUCUUCGGCAAUGGGGGGAACCCUGGCCAAGCAACGCCGCGUGAGUGAAGAAGGGUUUCGGAUCGUAAAGCUCUGUUGGUAAGGAAGCGGUACUUAACCAGAAAGGGACGGCUAACUACGUGCCAGCAGCCGCGGUAAUUC
rnacentral:rRNA from 1 species